AGGUGGUAAUUCAAUUGGAGAUACCAUAGAUGUGCUUUGUAAUACAAAAGACCUUGAAGGUGGUAUAAGUACUGGCAGCUUGGAAAGGGGUUGGCCUGUCGGUGUUGAUGCAACUGGAGAACCCCCGUAUCUUUGUUGUGGUGGGGGUGGUGGUGGGGAUGGUGAGCGCCUUUGUUGUGGUGGUGGCGGUGGUGGAGGUGGAGGUGGAGGAUGCGGUAGUGGAAGUGAAAUAGGCUGGCCUAAAACACUGCUAAUUCUGGCAUUUAGACCAAAAACACUCGAAGUCAUUACUGGUGAUGCAUCUGGGCUUUUUU
rnacentral:misc_RNA from 1 species